rfam:Pteropus alecto contig35124, whole genome shotgun sequence.
UGUUCCACAGUGUAGUGGUUGGCACGUCUGCUUUACACGCAGAAGGUCCUGGGUUCGUGCCCCAGUAGAGCCG